ensembl:lncRNA novel transcript
CAGAAGAGGUGUGGGAAGAAAGACUCCGGUCGUACAGCCUGGCAGAGGGACCAGGAAUGUGAACUUGAAGUCAUCCAGUGACCCAGAGGCCUCCCUGACUCCACCCCCUGUGCCCACACUCCAAGUGGCUCCAGAAGCUCCCUGCCCACAGUCUCACUUGAGUUUCACAUCUGAGGGCAGCAGCGGGACGUCCCGAGGUGCCACAGGAAAGAGCAUGGGCCACAGCAGCCAGCGCCCUGUCAGCUCCAGGGCACGGUGCUGGACUCGCAGCGGCUGGCGGUUGAAGGAGUCAGGGGAAGAGGAAGAAGACAAAUCCUCCGAAGCUGCCCAGAGAUGCCGAGCCCAGGAACCCGGAGCCUCCAGUGCAGCUGCCCUCUUGGCCAGCUCAGUUCCUGCUCUGCCUAUAAAAAUCCUGUUCAUCAGUUAAUCGGGUUGCUAAAAAAAUAAUU